rnacentral:rRNA from 1 species
GUCUAGAGGCUUCGGCAAUGGGGGCAACCCUGACCGAGCGACGCCGCGUGGAGGAUGACGCCCUUCGGGGUGUAAACUCCUUUCGACCGGAAAGAAGGCCCGGACUCGUUCCGGGAUUGACGGUACCGGUGGAAGAAGCCACGGCUAACUCUGUGCCAGCAGCCGCGGUAAGACAGAGGUGGCUAGCGUUAUUCGGAUUUAUUGGGCGUAAAGGGCGCGUAGGCGGCCAGGCACGUCUGGUGUGAAAGCGCUACCGCUUAACGGAGCGACUGCAUUGGAUACGGCUUGGCUUGAGUCCGGGAGAGGUGAGUGGAAUUCCUGGUGUAGCGGUGGAAUGCGUAGAUAUCAGGAAGAACACCAGUGGCGAAGGCGGCUCACUGGCCCGGCACUGACGCUGAGGCGCGAAAGCGUGGGGAGCAAACGGGAUUAGAUACCCUAGUAGUCC